rnacentral:rRNA from 1 species
UACAGAGGUGGCAAGCGUUGUUCGGAAUUACUGGGCGUAAAGGGCGCGUAGGUGGCCAACUAAGUCAGACGUGAAAUCCCCAGGCUUAACCUGGGAACUGCAUCUGAUACUGGAUGGCUUGAAUUCGGGAGAGGGAUGCAGAAUUCCAGGUGUAGCGGUGAAAUGCGUAGAUAUCUGGAGGAAUACCGGUGGCGAAGGCGGCAUCCUGGACCGAGAUUGACACUGAUGAGCGAAAGCCAGGGGAGCAAACGGG